UAUGAUUGUGAGUCAUAUAAGGUUAACCUUAGGUUAAUCAUAAACGUAUUGAUGCAGUAUUAGGUACAGAGGUGCUGUGGUGGCAGGAUUGCAGUGCGAAGUAAAAAGUGCGCCAAAAUUUAAAAAAGUCAGCAUCAGGCAAUCCAGGCUUCAUAUAAAUUCUACUGAAAAUUCUCACGUCGCGACUGGUUGACGAGGACUCGAGUUCUCCUCACGCUCGUGAUUUGUUGCGUAGACUGCACACUGGCUCGCAUUCGUGCACAGCGGACACAGCGGUGUUAGUAAAUAUGUUUGGUACCCCAUACUUACAAAUACCUAUUAUAGGUCCGAUUAAAUUACGAAUCGGUAUGGUUGAUACAUAAUUCUCCCCAUCGAUAGCUGGCUAUCGUGAAAACAGGCCAAAACUGUAAAUUCGUAAAAAGCAAAAUAAAUACCCAGGACUCGUUGCAACAAUGAAUUUUGCUGUUACGUAAUUUUGAUAACAUUAUGUUAUGUUAUGUACCUAUGUGUAUGUAGAUAUUGUUGUAUACUUAGGAAUGUUUUACUGAUGUUUAACAAUCGUCAUCUCAUGUCACAUAAUUGAGUUUGUUUAGCCUUGUUCUGCCCACCGCAUACAGUUUGAGCCAUUGAAAUUUAAACUAAAUAAUUGAAUAAACGGGGUAGAUUUUCCUUUGUAUCACGAUUAAGGUAAAAAUAAAAAAUAGGUAUUUUUGUCUAUCCAGGCUUUUAAUUUAUAAGUACCAAAAAAAUGGAAUAUGUCCUUUAUAAAUCACAUUGGGCAGGACGAGGACAGUAAAACGUUAUAUUAAUAGGCACGUACAAAUACAAAAUAUUUAGUAAAGGUAGUUAAGUAGUUCCCGCCUUAUACGUCGCAUCUCUCAGAAUGUUGAUUGGUUUUUAAUACUUGGGCUAUGGUCACCCAAUUUACCUAGAACCCGAAAUGACUUAACUAUCACGGAGCCUGACUGUACGAGGAGAGCUGACCAAGCAUAGAAUUACGGCUCGUGUUUUCGUAAAUGAUGCAAUAUAUAAUGGGAAGCAAAGAAGGAAAUCUGGCAGGCAAUCAUGGUCGCGCGAUAAACGAUAAAACAUCAUUUAUCGCGCAACCAUACUUGCCAGCCUGGUGGUGAUGGCAGUUCCGCUCGCGUGAGAUAAGUAGUUAGUAUAUGUACAGUCAACCGAUUAGAAUCAUAGGCCACUCUAGAACCCUGUCGUAUUGACACCGUGCUUAUUUGCUAUAAAAGUCAGUUUGACUUUUACUGUGAAAGGGUUCUAUCUACAGUGGCCUAGGGUUCAGAUUGGUUGACUGUUCUGUACCCACAGCCACACCUCGGAUACUGGCGAUCAAAUGUAUGAAAGAGGCGCGUUCCUAGCACACAGUCUAAGCUCGAGUAGGUGAACGCGUACUAUGCUGUAUGAGUGAGAUAUGACUGGUCGACUGUUCUCGUUUUUGACAGGCGGUAACUGUAAGGUAACCGAGAGGGGGUGGGCGGCGCUUUCAGCGGGGAGCGGGAGUGGCCAUACUGUACGAUAGUACUCUUUAUUAUACUGUGCCACAGCUGCUUAGCUUAGCUUGUGUGAGGUACGUUAAGUGGUAGGUAUUGAGGGGCCUAGCCAAGAGAUGCUUGCUUAGAAUAAAAUAAACCGCCAGUUAAAUAUUGUAGGUGUAGUGGACAUUUACUUGAAAACUACAUCUUCACGAAGCCUGCCUUAAAUGAAGUAUACUUUUGCUUUUUGAUACAUUCAUUUUCUCUGCCUAAAGUGUCAAUUCGAGUCUGUGCACAACUCCUGGUGAAAUCUACAACUAAAAUCGGGAGCGGGAGUUAAAUAAAAAUGUCAACUUGUAAUAAAAUAACUUAUUUCAUAAUGUUUCAUGAUAUCAAUCUACCAUUAUUAUUUGGCCAACAGCGCCUAUAAAAUGCAUAAGAACCUAUGUGUCAAUAAUUCAAAAUACUCUCCUAAAAUUUUUCAAUUAUAUUAAUGCCUAAUAGCUUAGAACACCGCUCAGAAUGUUGAAAUGAAGUUUUGUGAUUUGUUCAAAGAUAAUA